AAUAUCACCGUGUAAAAACACGACAUAGAUAACGUGAUACUGGUAAUGAACCAAAGAAGUACGUUACACAUAACAAAAUUGGUAACAGUCUUCCAACUAGGCAUUGAGGCCUCAGCCACAAUAUCGCUCAUUACCUUAAAUGGGCCUCAACAAAGACCAUUAUAAAAAACUAUUGUAACAUGCCACAAAGAGGUCAGUUGCCAUUGUUGCCCGUCACUUAUCUUCUAUUAUUUGCAGCGGUUUUUUGUCAACGGUCUUUUCAGAUGUGUUUACUCCAGUUUAUAAGGUGCUCCUCCAUAUCAAAAUCGACCAAGUCCUUCAAAUAUUUUCCAUUCCUCUCUCAGCC
rnacentral:lncRNA from 1 species